GUGCCAGCAGCCGCGGUAAUACCGGCAGCCCAAGUGAUGGCCGAUCUUAUUGGGCCCAAAGCGUCCGUAGCUGGCUGCGCAAGUCCGUCGGGAAAUCCACUCGCCCAACGAGUGGGCGUCCGACGGAAACUGCACAGCUUGGGACCGGAAGGCUCGAAGGGUACGUUCGGGGUAGGAGUGAAAUCCUAUAAUCCCGCACGGACCACCGAUGGCGACAGCACUUCGAGAAAACGGAUCCGACAGUGAGGGACGAAAGCCAGGGUCUCCAACCGGAUUAGAAACCCCUGUAUCC
rnacentral:rRNA from 1 species